GGCAUUGUUCUAGUGCAUUGUGUGGCGGUGGCUUUUCCCUGGGCUGUGGUGGCUGGAUGACUGCUCAGUUGCAGCUAUUAAUUCCGGCACCUCGCUGUAUUCUUGUAUCGACCAAUGAGUGAUUAUAACGUGUCCGAUUGUGUGCCCAUUGGAUCCUACCUUUUUCUUUCUCCCCUUUCCCUUUAUGUCGGAUCUUCCUCUGGUAUAAUUUGUUUAUUAGCUCCCGUAUUCAUCGCUAUUGCUGUGGUUACCGGAGAUCGUCUUCUACUGCUGCUAAUGCAGGCAUGUUGGCUACCGAUUGGACGCCACCAAUGCAGCUGUUAACGGGGACUGCCUGCAUUAAUCCUUGGCGUGCUGCUUUGUGCUCCACUUCAUUCUUUCAUUUGUUUAUUUGUUUUGGAUGAUUGAUUUGUUAACAUUAGUAAUGCUCUGCUUUUUGUUUUGUCUUUAAUUUAUGCAGAGCAUUGAUUUUGUUUUUGUUAUUAAGAUAUUUAAGAUAUAAGUUAUUAAGAUAUUUUUUGUGUGUUUAUUAGUCAUAUUAUUUUGAGUAUCAAUUGAUGUUUGGAUUUAGUGUAGGUCAGAUGGUGUAACUACAGCUGUAGCUGUCUUUCAAUUAGAUCAUGUAAAGUAGGUGUGUUAACCUGAUUGACCCACUUAUUGAUGCAUUUUGUUGGUUAUUUAUUUUAUUUUUGUUUAUUUCAGGAACUGAGGUUUUCCCCGAUGGAUGACGGGUCUUUUUCCACGGGUGGUGGUGUUUCUCUACCAUGUGCUGUGGGACACUGAGUGUGUGAUUUGAGUGCACUGUGGUGUGUGCGUGUGCUGGGGUAAAGUCGGUCCACUCGUACCCAGUCAGUGGGAACCUCCAAUCCUUGUUUUGUUUGUUAAUUUAUUGUUUCUUUUUGUAUUUAAUAAUGAAGUGGGAGUUUUUGAUGUGCUUUUAAGAACUGUACAAUUUGACAGUUUUAUUCAAAAUAAAUAUUUUUGUACCUUUGCAU
ensembl:processed_transcript